GUCAUUUCAAGAAGGCAGUUCUCCAUGAAGUAUGCUCUGCACUUUGUCUUGGAUGCGCCAUUUGACUUCACAGCUGACAAAGGCGUUCACUAAAGGGGCACUGGAGAGUGUGAAUGAGACCCCGAGCAGUGAGG